UGUGAUAAGGUCACAUGAGACCCUAAAGGCAACCGAUCCUAUAUGAUCUCAGAUGCUAAGCAGGGUCACCCCUGGUUAAUACUUGGGUGCAGUGCACCAAAGAAUACAAAGUGUUAUCACUA
rnacentral:rRNA from 11 species